rnacentral:rRNA from 1 species
GAUGAGUUCUCCCUGACUCCUUGAGAGUCCUGAAGGAACGUUGAAGACGACGACGUUGAUAGGCCGGGUGUGUAAGCGCAGGCAUGCGUUGAGCUAACCGGUACUAAUGAACCGUGAGGCUUAACCUU